UGUAUGUACUACAUAUUUGACUUUUAAUCAAGGUGUCCGGAGUUCGAAUCUCCGAUGGAUCACCA
rnacentral:tRNA from 1 species